rnacentral:ncRNA from 2 species
CUCUUAUCCAGAGAGGCGGAGGGACCGGCCCUACGAAGCCUCGGCAACCAGGUUAGUCAAGGUAGUCAAACUACCAGACUGAUUCGACUAACUCAGGUGCUAAUUCCGGCAGAAGGUAUUUCUGGAAGAUGAGAG